rnacentral:rRNA from 1 species
UGACCAGACUCCUACGGGAGGCAGCAGUGAGGAAUAUUGCACAAUGGGGGAAACCCUGAUGCAGCGACGCCGCGUGAGUGAAGAAGUAUUUCGGUAUGUAAAGCUCUAUCAGCAGGGAAGAACAUGACGGUACCUGACUAAGAAGCCCCGGCUAACUACGUGCCAGCAGCCGCGGUAAUACGUAGGGGGCAAGCGUUAUCCGGAUUUACUGGGUGUAAAGGGAGCGUAGACGGCAGUGCAAGCCUGGAGUGAAAGGAUGGGGCCCAACCCCAUGACUGCUCUGGGAACUGUACAGCUAGAGUGCCGGAGGGGUAAGCGGAAUUCCUAGUGUAGCGGUGAAAUGCGUAGAUAUUAGGAGGAACACCAGUGGCGAAGGCGGCUUACUGGACGGUAACUGACGUUGAGGCUCGAAAGCGUGGGGAGCAAACAGGAUUAGAUACCCCAGUA